GUGGGGAAUAUUGGGCAAUGGGCGCAAGCCUGACCCAGCAACGCCGCGUGAAGGAAGAAGGCUUUCGGGUUGUAAACUUCUUUUACCAGGGACGAAACAAAUGACGGUACCUGGUGAAUAAGCCACGGCUAACUACGUGCCAGCAGCCGCGGUAAUACGUAGGUGGCGAGCGUUAUCCGGAUUUAUUGGGUGUAAAGGGCGUGUAGGCGGGACAGCAAGUCAGAUGUGAAAACCAGAGGCUCAACCUCUGGCCUGCAUUUGAAACUGUUGUUCUUGAGUGUCGGAGAGGUAAUCGGAAUUCCGUGUGUAGCGGUGAAAUGCGUAGAUAUACGGAGGAACACCAGUGGCGAAGGCGGAUUACUGGACGAUAACUGACGCUGAGGCGCGAAAGCGUGGGGAGCAAACAGGAUUAGAAACCCGGGUAGCCC
rnacentral:rRNA from 1 species